AACGUAGGUGGCGAGCGUUAUCCGGAUUUACUGGGCGUAAAGCGCUUGUAGGUGGUUUUGUAAGUUGGGCGUGAAAUCUCCGGGCUUAACUUGGAGAGGCCGUCCAAUACUGCGAGGCUAGAGGUUAUUCGAGGAAAGUGGAAUUCCUGGUGUAGUAGUGAAAUGCGUAGAUAUCAGGAGGAACACCGGUGGCGAAGGCGGCAUCCUGGACCGGUAUUGACGCUGAGGCGCGAAAGCUAGGGGAGCAAACGGG
rnacentral:rRNA from 1 species